rnacentral:misc_RNA from 1 species
GAUGAAGAACGUAGCGAAAUGCGAUAAGUAGUGUGAAUUGCAGAAUUCAGUGAAUCAUCGAAUCUUUGAACGCACAUUGCGCCCCUUGGUAUUCCAUGGGGCAUGCCUGUUCGAGCGUCAUUUGUACUCUCAAGCUAAGCUUGGUGUUGGGUGUUUGUCCACUCCCUUGUGUUUGGACUCGCCUUAAAACAAUUGGCAGCCAGUGUUUUGGUAUUGAAGCGCAGCACAAUUUGCGAUUCUAGCCUAGAAUACUAGCAACCAUCAAGUCAUUUUUAACGCUUGACCUCGGAUCAGGUAGGGAUACCCGCUGAACUUAAGCAUAUUCAAUAAGCGGAGGA